GCCUGGGAUAGCUCAAUCAGUAGAGUGUGAGACUCUUAAUCUCAAGGUCGUGGCUUCAAGCCCCAAGUUGGGUA